rnacentral:rRNA from 1 species
AGUGAACGCUGGCGGCAGGCCUAAUACAUGCAAGUCGAACGGCAGCACAGCAGAGCUUGCUCUGUGGGUGGCGAGUGGCGGACGGGUGAGGAAUACGUGGGAAUCUGCCCAGUCGUGGGGGAUAACGUAGGGAAACUUACGCUAAUACCGCAUGCGCCCUUCGGGGGAAAGCCGGGGACCUUCGGGCCUGGCGCGUUUGGAUGAGCCCACGUCGGAUUAGCUAGUAGGCGGGGUAAAGGCCCACCAAGGCGACGAUCCGUAGCUGGUCUGAGAGGAUGAUCAGCCACACUGGAACUGAGACACGGUCCAGACUCCUACGGGAGGCAGCAGUAGGGAAUAUUGGACAAUGGGCGCAAGCCUGAUCCAGCCAUGCCGCGUGAGUGAAGAAGGCCCUCGGGUCGUAAAGCUCUUUUGUCCGGAAAGAAAAGCGCCGGGUUAAUACCCUGGUGUCCUGACGGUACCGGAAGAAUAAGCACCGGCUAACUUCGUGCCAGCAGCCGCGGUAAGAC